CGGAAUUGACACCCUCAUGGGCUUGGGAGAGCCCGAUUGUCCUGCGGAGACGUUUACUGCCGGAUACUCGAUGGUCGGUUGCUUCGUGUGUCUGGCGACACUCUCGAUGGAGGACAUUGAACAACAUCUACCAAUUUGUAACCAUGAUAACAGAGUUCUGGCUGAUUGGAGUUGGCUCGGACCUGGCUUAUCGAAGAACAAGAAGCAGCUACAGCUGUUCAAAAUCCCACAAGGCUGGUCAACAUGAUAGACAAUGGGCAGGGAUGUGGGUACUCAGACUGUGUUUAUUGAACGCAACACGGAUAAGAUCUUGGCUCUACUAUAUGGAUAACAUCUUUUUGAAGAACAACGGGAAUUGAGAGACCUGGUGACCAGUGACGGACAUUAGACUACUGUAAAAUUGGAAGCAGUUUGUUUGUUCCCACUAACCAAAACAACUACCAUCUUCAUCUCAUGUGCCACCCCCCACCCCCGCGGCAGCUGGAUGCUCAAGGCAAAAGCUGACGGGAAUAACAAUUCUCCCUUAGAUAAUACGACUGUUUGUUAUGACUCUCCCCCUCCUCAUUCAAGGCCAUCACAGUCCUGUACAAAUGAUAAACACCUUAAUAAUUUUGUUGAGAAUUAUCGCUGACAAAAAAAAUGACUUUAUUAUUUAAUGAUACCUGAAUCUGCUAAGAAAGAGAAAUGGUGAAAUGUAAAGUUUCUGAUGGUUUCUGACCAACAGUGUGAAAUCAUAUUCAUUCAAAAACAAAGUGCUCUUAAUGUGAAAAUCUGCUUCCUCCACCCUCCCACCUGUGCUGCAUUUCAGGUGGAGUCCCGCCUCCUUCCAGGAAGCAGCUCACCUGUGUGUCUGUGUUUAGUGUCCAGGUGUGGAGUGGAGCUUGUUGGUGGUGUGUGAAGAAACUUCCUUCUGUAUCUAAUGUCUGUGUCAUGAUCCUGGGUCCUUUUGACCCAGCGUUUUGUGUUUUCUCUUCACGAUUUUGGUUCUGUUCUCUAAUUGGUGUUUACCCUGUUCCCCCCCGUGUGUUCCUGUUUUAUUGUGAAGGUCUGCGUCUUAUGUGAGUGUUUUCAGUUUGCCUCCCUGGUCUCGUCAUGUUAAUCACUCCCAGCUGUGUCUCCCACCUGUGUGUAAUCUCCCUGUGUUCUCUGAGUGUAUUUAAGUUGUAUUUUCUGUCUUGGUAAUCGCUGGUUCGUCUGUGUUGUUUCCCCUCGGUCUCCCUGCGUCUCCCUGUAUGUAUUUCUCCGGACCUCCCUGCAUCCUCAUUCUGGUUUGUCUUAUUAGUUUACCCAGUUUAGGUUUCCGGUUUCAUGUUUUGUCGCCACCGCUGUUUGUACUCACACCCCUGUAAAUAAACACUCAUCUGCACCAGAGCUGCCGCAUUUUGGGUUCUAUUUCAUAUUCCACACGGCUUGCCCCGGCAAACCGUGACAGUACGA
ensembl:lncRNA